ACUUUAUGUUGAACUGUGGUAGAGGAAACAAGACAGUUCUGUCUGCAGAAGCCCAUUAUGGCUGUAACUGGAGAUGACACAGAUGAGGAAACUGAACUUGCCCCAAGUCACAUGGCUG